rnacentral:rRNA from 1 species
GCGAAGCUAGUUGUAUUAACUAUUAGUUAAUGCAAGAUCGAUUAUGUCGACUAAAGUUCUAGGUAGAAUAAUGAUGAUGACAAUUUUCUACCUAUAUGUCUUGACCAAGUCUCGUGCCAGCAGUCGCGGUAAUACGUGGAAGACUAGUGUUAUUCAUCUUUAAUAGGUUUAAAGGGUACCUAGACGGUAUUUCUAGCCCAAAAUAGGGUACGGAUUUACUAGAGUUUUAUGUGAGGAGGGGAGUACUCGUGGAGUAGAGAUGAAAUUUUGUGAUACUACGAGGAAACUGGUGGCGGCGAAAGCAACCUUCUAUGUAUAAACUGACGUUGAGGGACGAAGGCUUGGGUAGCAAAUAGGAUUAGAUACCCUAGUAGUCCAAGCAGACAAUUCUGAAUGCCAUAGAUUAGAUUUUUUUUUGGUCUAUAAAUGAAAGUGUAAGCAUUCCACCUUAAGAGUAAUGUGGCAACACAGGAACUGAAAUCAUUAGACCGUUUCUGAAACCAGUAGUGAAGUAUGUUAUUUAAUUUGUUGGUCCUCAAAAAACCUUACCACAACUUGAAUAUUAUUCAAUUAAUACAAGCGUUGCACGGCUGUCUUCAGUUAAU